UACGGAGGGGGCAAGCGUUGUUCGGAAUUACUGGGCGUAAAGGGCGCGUAGGCGGGCAAGCAAGUCCGGGGUGAAAUCUUUCGGCUCAACCGGAAAAGUGCCUUGGAUACUGCUUGUCUGGAGGGAGGUAGGGGCAUGCGGAACUUCUGGUGGAGCGGUGAAAUGCGUUGAUAUCAGAAGGAACGCCGGUGGCGAAAGCGGCGUGCUGGACCUCUUCUGACGCUGAGGCGCGAAAGCUAGGGGAGCAAACGGG
rnacentral:rRNA from 1 species